AGUGAACGCUGGCGGUAUGCCUAACACAUGCAAGUCGAACGGCAGCACAGUAAGAUCUUGCUCUUACGGGUGGCGAGUGGCGGACGGGUGAGGAAUACAUCGGAAUCUACUUUUUCGUGGGGGAUAACGUAGGGAAACUUACGCUAAUACCGCAUACGACCUACGGGUGAAAGCAGGGGAUCUUCGGACCUUGCGCGAUUGAAUGAGCCGAUGUCGGAUUAGCUAGUUGGCGGGGUAAAGGCCCACCAAGGCGACGAUCCGUAGCUGGUCUGAGAGGAUGAUCAGCCACACUGGAACUGAGACACGGUCCAGACUCCUACGGGAGGCAGCAGUGGGGAAUAUUGGGCAAUGGGCGCAAGCCUGAUCCAGCAAUACCGCGUGGGUGAAGAAGGCCUUCGGGUUGUAAAGCCCUUUUGUUGGGAAAGAAAAGCAGCAGGUUAAUACCCCGCUGUUCUGACGGUACCCAAAGAAUAAGCACCGGCUAACUUCGUG
rnacentral:rRNA from 1 species